UGCAACGUCGAGCGGCAGCACGGGGUGCAACCCUGGUGGCGAGCGGCGGACGGGUGAGGAAUACAUCGGAAUCUGCCUUGUCGUGGGGGAUAACGUAGGGAAACUUACGCUAAUACCGCAUACGACCGAGAGGUGAAAGUGGGGGACCGCAAGGCCUCACGCGAUAAGAUGAGCCGAUGUCGGAUUAGCUAGUUGGCGGGGUAAUGGCCCACCAAGGCGACGAUCCGUAGCUGGUCUGAGAGGAUGAUCAGCCACACCGGAACUGAGACACGGUCCAGACUCCUACGGGAGGCAGCAGUGGGGAAUAUUGGACAAUGGGCGCAAGCCUGAUCCAGCCAUGCCGCGUGGGUGAAGAAGGCCUUCGGGUUGUAAAGCCCUUUUGUUGGGGAAGAAAUCGUACGGGCGAAUACCUCGUGCGGAUGACGGUACCCAAAGAAUAAGCACCGGCUAACUUCGUGCCAGCAGCCGCGGUAAUACGAAGGGUGCAAGCGUUACUCGGAAUUACUGGGCGUA
rnacentral:rRNA from 1 species